CUAUGGGGCGAAAAAACAUGCUCCAGAUAAAAACUCCAAUAAAUGUGGACAGACGCAUAAAUCUGACUUCAGGGUGUCAAGCUCUCCUUUAAGAGACAACGGGCAAGCUGACCAAUGAGGUGUCAGUGGUGCUGCAGCAGGAAGCUGAAACACUUCACCCCUGCUGUUACCCUUCCUAGAGAGGUGACUGAUGAGUCUGGCAGAAACGCACCAUACAGAUAUGACGACUUACCAGUUC